rnacentral:rRNA from 1 species
CCUACGGGAGGCAGCAGUGAGGAAUAUUGGUCAAUGGGCGCAAGCCUGAACCAGCCAAGUAGCGUGAAGGAUGACUGCCCUACGGGUUGUAAACUUCUUUUAUCAAGGAAUAAAGUGAGGCACGUGUGCCUUUUUGUAUGUACUUUAUGAAUAAGGAUCGGCUAACUCCGUGCCAGCAGCCGCGGUAAUACGGAGGAUCCGAGCGUUAUCCGGAUUUAUUGGGUUUAAAGGGCGCGUAGAUGGGUUGUUAAGUCAGUUGUGAAAGUUUGCGGCUCAACCGUAAAACGGCAAUUGAUACUGGCAGUCUUGAGUACAGUUGAGGUACGCGGAAUUCGUGGUGUAGCGGUGAAAUGCUUAGAUAUCACGAAGAACCCCGAUUGCGAAGGCAGCGUACUAAACUGCCACUGACAUUGAUGCUCGAAAGUGUGGGUAUCAAACAGGAUUAGAUACCCCAGUAGUC